rnacentral:tRNA from 1 species
CGGAAGUGGCUCAGUGGUAGAGCAUCGCCUUGCCAAGGCGAGGGUCGCGGGUUCGAGUCCCGUCUUCCG